rnacentral:rRNA from 1 species
GCUCCAAUAGCGUGUACUAACGUUGUUGCAGUUAAAAAGCUCGUAGUUGAAUUUCUGGUAGGAGUGACCGUUCUUUGUCGCAAGAUAUUGAAAAGUGUGUUUUCUCUGGCCAUUUUGGUUUAUCUGUUAAGGAUAGGCCUCAUUCACUGUAAAUAAAGUUGGUCGCUUCAAGAAGAAGUUUCUUCAGAAAAUGUUAGUAU